rnacentral:rRNA from 1 species
UGUAGUCAUAUGCUUGUCUCAAAGAUUAAGCCAUGCAUGUCUAAGUAUAAGCAAUUAUACAGCGAAACUGCGAAUGGCUCAUUAAAUCAGUUAUCGUUUAUUUGAUAGUACCUUACUACAUGGAUAACCGUGGUAAUUCUAGAGCUAAUACAUGCUAAAAAUCCCGACUUCGGAAGGGAUGUAUUUAUUAGAUUAAAAACCAAUGCCCUUCGGGGCUCCUUGGUGAUUCAUAAUAACUUCUCGAAUCGCACGGCCUUGCGCCGGCGAUGGUUCAUUCAAAUUUCUGCCCUAUCAACUUUCGACGGCUGGGUCUUGGCCAGCCAUGGUGACAACGGGUAACGGAGGGUUAGGGCUCGACCCCGGAGAAGGAGCCUGAGAAACGGCUACUACAUCCAAGGAAGGCAGCAGGCGCGCAAAUUACCCAAUCCCGACUCGGGGAGGUAGUGACAAUAAAUACUGAUACAGGGCUCUUUUGGGUCUUGUAAUUGGAAUGAGUACAAUUUAAAUCCCUUAACGAGGAACAAUUGGAGGGCAAGUCUGGUAAUCG